rnacentral:rRNA from 1 species
UACAGAGGGUGCGAGCGUUGUCCGGAAUCACUGGGCGUAAAGGGCGCGUAGGUGGCGCUGCAAGUCGGUGGUGAAAGCUCGUCGCUUAACGACGAGUCGGCCAUCGAAACUGCAGGGCUGGAGCACUGUAGGGGCUAAUGGAAUUCCGGGUGUAGCGGUGGAAUGCGUAGAGAUCCGGAAGAACACCAGUGGCGAAGGCGGUUAGCUGGGCAGUUGCUGACACUGAGGCGCGACAGCGUGGGGAGCGAACAGG